rnacentral:rRNA from 1 species
GUGCCUAACACAUGCAAGUCGAACGAGAAAGUGGAGCUUGCUUCACAAGUAAAGUGGCAAACGGGUGAGUAACACGUGAACAACCUACCCUCGCAGUGGGGAAUAACACCUGCGAAAGCGGUGCUAAUACCGCAUAAUAUCUCUGAAUCGCAUGGUUUUGAGAUCAAAAGCUUCGGUUGCUUGAGGAGGGGUUCGCGCCUGAUUAGCUUGUUGGUGAGGUGACGGCUCACCAAGGCUGCGAUCAGUAGCCGGCCUGAGAGGGUGAACGGCCACACUGGAACUGAGACACGGUCCAGACUCCUACAGGAGGCAGCAGUGGGGAAUUUUGCGCAAUGGGCGAAAGCCUGACGCAGCAACGCCGCGUGGAGGAUGAAGGCCCUCGGGUCGUAAACUCCUGUCAGUGGGGAACGAAUGCUUCGCAAGAAGUUUGACUGUACCCGCUGAGGAAGCCACAGGCUAACUCCGUUGCCAGCAGCCGCGGCUAAUACGGAGGUGGCAAGCGUUGUUCGGAAUUACUGGGCGUUAAGGGCGC